rnacentral:lncRNA from 1 species
CCUUCCCCUAUGCCAUCUACACCCAGCGCGUCCGCGGAGGGAAGAUCUUCAUAGAAAGAGUCCAGGGGAACCCAACCCUAUUGCACAUCACAGAUCUUCAGGCCCGGGAUGCCGGAGAAUAUGAAUGCCACACACCCAGCACCGAUAAGCAAUACUUUGGGAGUUACAGUGCAAAGAUGAACCUAGUGGCAGCAAGGCAAGUGAGGUGCUGCCGUCAUCCAGGCUGGACAGUUCAGUGAUUUGCCUGA